GAUGAACGCUAGCUACAGGCUUAACACAUGCAAGUCGAGGGGCAGCAUGGACAUAGCUUGCUAUGUUUGAUGGCGACCGGCGCACGGGUGCGUAACACGUAUCCAAUCUGCCCGUUACUCGGGGAUAGCCUUCUGAAAGGAAGAUUAAUACCCGAUGGCAUGUAUUUCCGGCAUCGGAGAUACAUUAAAGAAUUUCGGAAACGGAUAGGCUCGCGUGACAUUAGCUAGAUGGCGGGGUAACGGCCCACCAUGGCGACGAUGUCUAGGGGUUCUGAGAGGAAGGUCCCCCACACUGGAACUGAGACACGGUCCAGACUCCUACGGGAGGCAGCAGUGAGGAAUAUUGGUCAAUGGUCUGACGACUGAACCAGCCAUGCCGCGUGAAGGUCACGGCCCUAUGGGUCUUAAACUUCUUUUGUUAGGGAGCAAUAAGUUCUACGUGUAGGAUGAUGAGAGUACCUUACGAAUAAGCAUCGGCUAACU
rnacentral:rRNA from 1 species